rnacentral:rRNA from 1 species
AUUGAACGCUGGCGGCAUGCUUUACACAUGCAAGUCGAACGGUAACAGGCCGCUAGGUGCUGACGAGUGGCGCACGGGUGCGUAAUGCAUCGGAACGUGCCCAGUCGUGGGGGAUAACUACUCGAAAGAGUAGCUAAUACCGCAUACGAUCUAUGGAUGAAAGCGGGGGACCGUAAGGCCUCGCGCGAUUUGUUCGGCCGAUGUCCGAUUAGUUAGUUGGUUGGGUAAAGGCUCACCAAGCCAACGAUCUGUAGCUGGUCUGAGAGGACGACCAGCCACACUGGGACUGAGACACGGCCCAGACUCCUACGGGAGGCAGCAGUGGGGAAUUUUGGACAAUGGGCGCAAGCCUGAUCCAGCAAUGCCGCGUGCAGGAAGAAGGCCUUCGGGUUGUAAACUGCUUUUGUACGGAAAGAAACGGCUCUGGUUAAUACCCGGGGCUAAUGACGGUAACGUAAGAAUAAGCACCGGCUAACUACGUG